AUAUUUAUUGCUUUUUGGGCUGUUAUUACACUUCACGGUACAAUAGUUAUGCCUUUUCUCUCUUAUUUUGCAAGGUUUACAUGAAGAGGGAGAAUGCCGACCACUGGAAUUCUGUCCUAAAAAGGGAGCAAGUUUGAGAUGCCUAUUCUACGCAACUCCAAAAGACGUGAAAAUCAACAUGGAUUUUUAUUGGGAUUUACAAAAAAUACUGGGCCGAACAAGUGCCAGAGGGGCGCCAGCAGGAGGCCACAAGCCUGCUAGGCGCGGCCUCCACCCUUGGCCGUGCCUAGGGGGCUUGUGAGCUCCCUGCUGGCCCACCGGUCCCCCCUUUUGCUACAAGAAGGGUUUCGGCCUGGAAAAAAUCAAGAGGAGGCUUUUCGGAGGUUUCGCCGCCACCACAAGGCGUAACUUGAGCAGAACCAAUCUAGAGCACUGGCACGACGAUCCUGCCGGGCAAACUUCCCUCCCGAAGGGGGAAAUCGUCGCAAUUGUCUUCACCAACACUCCUCUCGUCGGAGGGGACUCAUCACCAUCAACAUCUUCAUCAGCACCAUCUCAUCUCCAAACCCUAGUUCAUCUCUUGUAACCAAUCUCCAUCUCGCGACUCGAUUGGUACUUGUAAGGUUGCUAGUAGUGUUAAUUACUCUUUGUAGUUGAUGCUAGUUGGAUUACUUGGUGGAAGAGUUUAUGUUCAGAUCCUUGUUGCUACUCAUUACCUCUCUGGUCAUGAAUAUGAUUAUGCUUUGUGAGUAGUUACUUUUGUUCCUGGGCAGACGGGAUAAGUCAUGCUAUAAGUAGUCAUGUGAAUUUGGUAUUCGUUCGAUAUUUUGAUGUGUUGAAUGUUGUUUUUGCUCUAGUGGUGUUAUGUGAACGUCGACUACAUAACACUUCACCAUUAUUUGGUCAUAGAGGAAGGCAUUGGGAAGUAGUCAGUAGAUGAUGGGUUUCCAGAGUGACAGAAUCUUAAACCCUAGUUUAUGCGUUGCUUCGUAAGGGGCUGAUUUGGAUCCACUAGUUUAAUGCUAUGGUUAGACUUUGUCUUAAUUCUUCUUUCGUAGUUGCGGAUGCUCGCGAGAGGGGUUAAUCAUAAGUGGGAUGCUUGUCCAAGUAAGGGCAGUNNNNNNNNNNNNNNNNNNNNNNNNNNNNNNNNNNNNNNNNNNNNNNNNNNNNNNNNNNNNNNNNNNNNNNNNNNNNNNNNNNNNNNNNNNNNNNNNNNNNCGUACUUAGCAAGCAUUUUACGAAAAGAACCAUGAAUGAAAUGUGAACCACCGUCGAUCAUUAGAUAUCUAGGGUCUCCAAAUCUAGGGAAGAUAACUUCUUUAAGCAUCCUAAUAGAUGUGUUGUGAUCAGCACUACUAGUGGGGAUAGCUUCUACCCAUUUAGUGACGUAAUCAACAACAACUAGGAUAUGAGUAUACUUGUUGGAUUUUGGAAAAGGUCCCAUAUAAUCAAAGCCCCAAACAUCAAAUGGUUGAAUAACAAGUGAAUACUUGAUAGGCAUUUCCUGACGUUUACCGAUAUUACGUAUUCUUUGACAUUCGUCACAAGACAAGACAAACUUACGGGCAUCCUUGAAGAGAGUGGGCCAAUAGAAACCUGAUUGCAAUACCUUGUGUGCAGUUGUAUCUCCCGCAUGGUGUCCUCCUUAGGCCUUGGAGUGACACUUUUGUAGGAUUUGUCCCUGUUCAUGUUCAGGUACACAACGUCUAAUAACACCAUCUACUCCUUCCUUAUAAAGGUGAGGAUAAUCCCAAAAGUAAUGUCUCAAGUCAAAGAAGAAUUUCUUCUUUUGCUGGUAUGUGAAACUAGGUGGUAUCUAUUUGGCAACGAUAUAGUUUGCGUAAUCAGCAUACCACGGUGCACUACGUGAAGCAUUGAUGACAUUCAAUUGUUCAUUAGGAUAGCUAUCAUCAAUAGGUUGUGGGUCAUCAAGAACAUUCUCCAAUCUAGACAAGUUAUGUACUACGGGGUUAUCAGCACCCUUCCUGUUGACAACGUGCAAAUCAAAUUCUUGUAGCAAGAGAACCCAUCUGAUAAGUCUAGAUUUAGCGUCUUUCUUCUCCAUGAGGUACUUAAUAGCAGUCUGAUCAGUGUGAAUAGUGACUUUGGAAUCAACUAUGUAAGACCUGAACUUUUCACAUGCAAACACGACUGCUAAAAAUUCCUUCUCCAUAGUAGCAUAGUUUCUUUGGGCACCGUCUAGAGUUUCACUAGCAUAGUGAAUAGCAUUCAACUUCUUUUCAACUCUUUGCCCUAGGACAUCACCAACAACAUAAUCACUAGCAUCACACAUGAUUUCAAAAGGUAAGUUCCAAUCAGGCGGUUGAACAAUAGGUGCAGUUAUCAAAGCCUUCUUAAGUAUUUCGAAGGGCUUCCUCACAAUCAUCGUAAAACAAAAGGAAUAUCCUUUUGCAAGAGAUUGGUAAGAGUCCUAGAAAUCUUAGAGAAGUCUUUAAUGAACCUCCUAUAGAAACCGGCAGUACCAAGGAAACUUCUUAUACCUUUGAUAUAUAUGGGGUAUGGCAUUUUCUCGAUUGCGUCAACCUUAGCCUUAUCGACUUCAAUACCUCUUUCAGAAAUUUUAUGUCCUAAGACGACGCCUUCAUUAACCAUAAAGUGGCACUUCUCCCAAUUCAACACAAGAUUGGUGUCUUUAGAUCUCUGCAAGACUCGAUCAAGGUUGCUGAGGCAAUCAACAGAGGAAGACCCGUAAACGGAGAAGUCAUCCAUGAAAACCUCAACAAUCUUUNNNNNNNNNNGAGUCAGAGAAUAUAGCCAUCAUACAUCUUUGAAAGGUGGCAGGUGCAUUACAUAAGCCAAAAGGCAUACAUCUAUAAGAAAAGGUACCGAAAGGGCAGGUGAAAGUGGUUUUCUCCUGAUCAGAUUGUGCAACAGGUAUUUGGGAGAAACCAGAAUAACCGUCUAGAAAGAACAAGUGUGUGUGUUUAGACAGUCUUUGUAGCAUUUGGUCGAUAAAAGGGAAAGGGUAAUGAUGUUUCCUAGUGGCCUUAUUCAAUUUCCUAAAGUCGAUCACCAUCCUAUAGCCAGUAAUACUCCUCUAUGGGAUCAAUUCAUCCUUAUCAUUAGGAACAACGGUAAUACCUCCCUUCUUAGGGACGCAAUGCACCGGACUCACCCAAUCACCAUGAGCAACAAGAUAAAUAAUACCCGCUUCUAGGAGCUUUAGUAUUUCUUUUCUUACUACCUCUUUCAUCUUAGGAUUUAAUCUCCGUUGAUGAUCAACAACUGGUUUGGAAUCAGGAUCAGUUUUAAUCUUGUGCUGGCAUAGAGUGGGACUAAUGCCCUUGAGAUCAUGAAGAACAUAUCCAAUAGCAGCACGGUGCUUCCUCAAAGUUUUCAAUAAUUUCUUUUCUUAAUUCUCUGAGAGGCUAGCACUAAUUAUGACAUGAUAUAUCUCUUUUUCAUCAAGAUAAGAAUACUUAAGAGUAUCAGGAAACUUUUUAAGCUCGAACACAGGAUCACCCUUUGGUGGGGGUGUAUCCCCAAGCAGUUCAACAGGCAAGUUAUUCUUAAGGAUAUGAUAUUGUUCUAAGACAACUCCAUCUAUCUCAUCCCUUUCAUCCAUAUGCAUAUCAUUUUCAUGCUCAAGCAAUUAUUGCUCUAAGGGAUCAGUAGGAGGCACGGCAAUAGAAGCUAGGGCAAUAGUUUCAUCCUUACUAGGCAACUCUUCUUCAUGAGGUUGUCUACCAAACUUGAAGAAAUUGAACUCAUGUGACACGCCUUCAAAGCCAACAGUGACAGUUUGCUUCUCACAAUCAACAUGAGCAUUGACAGUACUGAGGAAGGGUCUGCCAAAUAUGAUGGGACAAAAGCUAUCUUUGGUGUUAGAAAGAACGAGGACAUCAGUAGGAUACUUCAUUUUACCGAGGAAGACUUCAACAUCCCUAACAAUUCCCACAGGGCAGAUAGUAUCUGUAUUGGCAAGCUGAAUAGUGACAUCAAUGGGUUCUAUCUCGACAGUUGCAAUCCCGUUGGGCCGCGCCGGAGAAGUCUGGGCUUGAUGACGACCUCUACUCUCGAAGGAAUAUCCCGAAGAUUGGUGUGUACCCCAAACUUAGGAGGACUAGGUCGGCUCAUCUAUUCCCGAUUAUAGUUGAUAUGUUGUAAACCCUAGGGACCAUGGUAUCUAUAUAAACCAGGGACUGAUGACCCACAAGUAUAGGGGAUCUAUUGUAGUCCUUUCGAUAAGUAAGAGUGUCGAACUCAACGAGGAGAAGAAGGAUCUGACAAGUGGUUUUCAGCAAGGUAAUAUCUGCAAGCACUGAAAUUAUCGGUAACAAUUAGUUGUGUGGUGAGAUGAUUCGUAGCAAGUAGCAAGUAACAAAAGUAGCAACGGUGCAGCAAAGUGGCCCAAUCCCUUUUGUAGCAAGGGACAAGCCUAGACAAAGUCUUAUAGGCGGUAAAACGCUCCCGAGGACACAUGGGAAAUUCUGUCAAGCUAGUUUUCAUCAUGUUCAUAUGAUUCGCGUUCGUUACUUUGAUAGUUUGAUAUGUGGGUGGACCGGCGCUUGGGUANNNNNNNNNNACAAAGUGGCCCAAUCCCUUUUGUAGCAAGGGACAAGCCUGGACAAAGUCUUAUAGGAGGUAAAACGCUCCCGAGGACACAUGAGAAAUUCUGUCAAGCUAGUUUUCAUCAUGUCAAUAUGAUUCACGUUCGUUACUUUGAUAGUUUGAUAUGUGGGUGGACCGACGCUUGGGUACUGCCCUAACUUGGACAAGCAUCCCACUUAUGAUUAACCCCUCUUGCAAGCAUCCGCAACUAUGAAAUAAGAAUUAAGACAAAGUCUAACCAUAACAUUAAACUAGUGGAUCCCAUUCAGCCCCUUACGAAGCAACGCAUAAACUAGGGUUUAAGCUUCUGUCACUCUAGCAACCCAUCAUCUACUUACUACUUCCCAAUGCCUUUCCCUAGGCCCAAAUAAUGGUGAAGUGUUAUGUAGUUGACGUUCACAUAACACCACUAGAGGAAAAACAACAUUCAACACAUCAAAAUAUCGAACGAAUACCAAAUUCACNNNNNNNNNNNNNNNNNNNNNNNNNNNNNNNNNNNNNNNNNNNNNNNNNNNNNNNNNNNNNNNNNNNNNNNNNNNNNNNNNNNNNNNNNNNNNNNNNNNNGGGAGAGGAUCUGGGACGUUACCGGAAUAACUGGACCUCGGCUCAAGAAGGCUGGAAAGCAGCACAGAGCAUGAGGCGGUGUUGAUAAGAAGAAUGUAGUAGUUCCCUAAGACGACCGAAGAACAUCUCAGAGCAUAGGGUCACUGCCACGGAAAUAAAUUCAACAGUUGCCCGCGACGGCCGAAAAUCAGCUCAGAACACGAGCUAAGUGCUGACAAGAGUGAAAUAUAAAGCCGGUAUACACCCCGGACGGCCGAAAGCAGCUCAGACUCAUGCGUGGUGCCGUCAUUGAAGAAAAUGCGAGCAAGGGUUCGUCAGAGUCACAUACAACACAUUACUAUACAAUCACAAGUAUAAUAAUUUAAACAUGCAGGAAUAACACAGAGCAAAGCUUGAGGGCACAUAUUAGAUGGUCCACUUGCCUGGGGUCGAAGUAUACUCCCGAAAAAGUUGCGGAGAGUCCACGGAAAGGAUCGCCGGAUACCGCUCUCUCUCGAAGGGGGCUUCUUGGAGACAAGGGCAAAAGCGUCAUUUUCACAGUGUAACCACCUUGUGAAAAUCAUACUAACAUGACGGGCUCGAUGAGACGAAGACCUGGGCUUUGGAAUCACCUCAAGCGGAGUCCCGAGCAAAAAGAUAUAAGCAUUUGAAGAAGAAGGACCUAUCUGCAAUUAAAAUAAUUGUCAGCGGGUCCCUCAGAGAACAACCGCUCGAGCCUUCUCUGGAAAUACACUUUCUGCUAACGGAAAGCGUAUUUUUAGAAAUACGCCACCACUUAUCCACCCUGUCGGGUGUCUCUCUCACCGAUAGGUGGGGUCGGGGCCCGCCUGUCGGGUCCCUUUCUCUCUCCUCUCUUUCCUUCUCCUACCUCCCGAGGUUGCAUGCAGAGCAGAGGAGGGCCUCGGCGCCGUCGGUCUUUCCGGCGACUCGAGCCACCUCCGGCGACGCCCAUCAUACUGGCGUGCUCAGGGGAGCCAGCCCCACCCAUCCUGGGGGUGCAAGGAGCCCGAUGAUGGGAGGAUGACGACGUCGUCCUUCGCAGCAGGAAGCUCAUCAAACAUUGCCGGCGCCGAUGCCCCGGUCAUCCCGCGGAGGAGCUAGGCGGCUCGACGGCUUCCUAGGGACUCGAGGGCUCCAUUUGGGGCGGCUGAUUGGGAAGGGGAGGGGCUGCUGCUCGGAUUGACUCGAGGGGAUCACGGCGGCGAUCCCUACUGGAGAGGAGGGAGAAGAGCUCCAGCGUUUGAUUCUUUGGACACGGAGAGAGCUAGGAAGGAGGGGAGCCUGCCGGGGAGUCGAGGUUCUCCGGAAGGGGCUCGGUCGUGGCUAAUUAUAGCCGCUCGACAACGAGCGGAUGAGCAUGGCGCCGUGGCAUCCUUAUCACCCCACUGGAGCUCGCGGUGAGGUGGCUUGGACGCACUCCGUGCCGACCUGACGCUCCACACGGGAUGCGACCGCUCGGGAAAGAAGUAGACAGCAGCGAGGGGAAGACGAUGAUGCACACGGAUAAGAGAUUGACGCGGCGGCGACUGUCAUGGUGUGGUGAGGAAGAUGAGGAGGGGGAAGCUCCUGGAGAGGGGCUACAUGGACUCCCCGAGGCUGUUUGACACGCCAGGACACGCCGAAGCUGGCCGGAGCUGGCCUGCCGACGACAAAACUGCACAGUCCAACGUUUUGGCUUGUCCCAAGUGUGGUCACCACGGGUGCCACAUGCUCUGGAGCUAUCCUGGAUGCAGCACUAUGUCAAAGAGGUGAUCUGCUGCUCAAGAAGGUAAAAUAUGGGUGUGGAAUAAGCUCGGAGGCUUUAGGAUAAGAGAAACUUGCACAAACAUGAUUUGACAACAACCUGUUUGUGAUAUUUUAUGGAAUAUUGGCUAAAGAGAAUAUGCUAAAUUUUGGUGUUGGCAAUGGUUUAUUAGAUGAGUGCCUUGGCAAAUUUCCAGGACAAAUAAACCAUCCUAGCUAGCAUUUCCUUCACACCAUGACAAACUGCACAAAAAUAAAGAUGGAGAAGCUGGGGUCAAAUGGCUACAUGGAUUUGGUUAAAAUUUCGUGGAGAGGAUUUAUUUGAAUAUAUGGAGAUGCUGGAAAAAUUUCAGCUCAUUUGGCAAUGCCUACAUGGUAGUUCCUUCACAUAGCUUCCAAAUGGGUAGCAACUUAGGAAAAUUGCUGGGAAAAUAUAAAUAGAGGGCUUGAGCUGAUUUUUGGUAUUCGUUAGUGAUUUAGUAAUGUAAACCACCAUGAAAAGUUUCAGCUCAAGGAGAUAAAGGAAUCAAGCACUUCCUUUGCAAAUUGCCCAAAUGGAUAGAAUUUGCAAAUUGAUGUUGAUCUCAAAAUUUGAACUAUGGAACUUGGGAUCUUGAUGGAAAUGGGGAAGAUAUGGAUAGGAGAAGCUCCACAUUAUUUGUUAUUUUCCUGGCUACCAAAAUGGUAGUUCCUUUAGAAAGUGCCCAAAAUGCAAUAUUGGCAUUAAAUAGGAAAAGGCAUUUUUCCUUUAUUCAAUGAUGGCCAAUAUUUCAAUUGAACAAGCAGGCAAAUCUAAUAGCUUUAGGAUUUUAUCCCUUUUAUUUUUGUGUAGUUGCUCUAGGAUUUGCUUACUUGCUGGUCAUCACUCGUUAGAGAUGUUAUUAGUGUGGAGUCAUGUGCUCUAGGAUUUGGUUAAAUUUAUGGAUCAUGUGCUCUAUGAUUUGCUUAAAUUUGUGGAUCAUGUGCUCUAUGCUCCGUGUUUCUUAAUUUGCGGAUCAUGUCAGUUUCGGGUACCCAUCAGUUUCGUUACUUUUGUACACUUUCAGUUUCUUCCGUUUCGUCAGACAACACCAACCGCAGAAGAAAAAAAAGGUAGGGUCCAAAUUGAAACUAAGCUCUGGUUGGGUUGUCUCACUGCGUUGAGUGUCGAAGGCCCACGCGCUGGCUCUGUUUUUUCCUUUGAUUAUUACCAUGGUAAAUCCAUUUAUUGCCAUGUCGAACAAAAAUAGUGCAUGAUGGUAAAUCGAUUUAUUGUUGGACUUGCACAUGUCAAAUUUAUUUGUACAUAUCAUGGCAAUUUCCUUUUGUAUAUUGCCUAUGGAAAAACACUUUCAUUUUUUGACUGUGGGUAUUAUAAACAAGUUUUUGUUGCAAGAAAAAUAUUGUAUACAUGAUUUUUUUAUUAAUAACAUGUCAGACUUAAUUAUGUAGAUCAUGAUAUCCAUCUGAAACCGCGUCUAAAAUAAAGUCUGGUAUCUCACGUAGCAAACAUACAUCCAUAACAUAAAAAGUAGCAACCAUAGCAUACUUCUUACAUAAGACAUAGGGUACCCUAAACCAUAGCAUAGUCCACAAACUAUUCAAAAAUUAGCUUGUUUUUGUUCAUACAAUAUACGGAAUAGGGCCACCAACAAUUCAAAAAAAAAUAGCUUUUCUUCUUCUUCUUUUCAACAUCAACAUGGCUCAUUUUUCUAGCUUUAGGUUCCUUUUUGACACUUCAACUACUCCAUUAUCCGCGCGUUCGAAAACUUGACCCUACUCUAAAUGGGCGAAAACUUGCUAGUUUCAUUGAGGAAUGUAGAAGGGCUCGUGUACGGCACCAUAUCCAUCUAGAGAUUUAUCUCACGUCAAAUAAGAUAGAAAUAGCAGGGAAAAACACUGAUAACCAACGACUUAUCAAGUAGGGAUAGAAAUAGCAAGCAUAAAAAAGUUCAUGGUACAACCAACGACAUAAUUAAGUUAAAAAUAUAUAAAAUAUAAAAAGACCUAACACCCUAGGGCAAGACCAGGACCGGGAUUUCACCACCAUCUUCACUGCGCCUUCUCUUUACUGCUCCCUCUCCAUGUCGUCCUAGCCGAUGUAGUAUGGGAGGCUGUGCAUACCAUUGCGGGUGGGGAUGAUACAGUCGAAGUUUCUGUAGAUGUUGUGGGUUGUGAAUGCGAUGAAUGCAGAUCCACACCAAAACACCUUGCCGAGGAGGUAGUACGCAUCAAAACUGUUGGUGAAGGUGACGGUGAGCCCUAUUGGCGGAGUCCUGGAGUUUGGACGCACUUCGUCCAGUCGAAACAUCACCGGCUAGCCCGUCGGGAGGUGGGCGAAGCCCGCAUGAAGGAACCACUUGGCAACCCCCCUUGCAACCCUCCAGCAUGAGAACACCCACACAUGGAGUGUCCUCUCCGCGACGAUGACGGUCGGAUACCGUCUCUCUGGCAUGGUCGGUGGGAGCUCGAAGGUGGGGCCGUUGUACUGCUUCCUCGCCUCUCUUUGAGAGUGCUCCGGGUUUGGGUGAAGGGGGUGAUGCAAAUGGAUGUGUGGAGAAUAGGUGGAGGGGUGGUGGUUUAAAUAGGGAAAGGGGAAGGGAAGGGGAGUGGCACCGGCUGCGCUUUGGAUUUGCUACCUUCAAACGAGCCGCGUCGAUCGAUAUGCCAAUUUAAUUUCCAACUGGUUUUAAUUGCCACGUUGAAUAGAUGUGAGUGGAUCGAAAAGUGUGAAAGAAUGCUCGAGGAGACACGCGUGGGAGAUGUUACGAUCCAGCGGUAGCAACCGUCCCUGCGUCCGUGGUGGCUCGCGUGAAAGUGAGGCCGGUCAGCGUCCGUGGAGGCUCACGUGAAAAAGAGGCUGGUCAGCGUCUCUGGCACCUCGCGUGAAAAAGAGGUCGGUCAGCACAUCGUGGCGGCGGGCGGCGGCGCAUGCAGGUAGGCUAGCGACGUGCAUGCAUGCAGGCUAGCUGGAUAUAUCGUGCAUGCAUAACACGCUUCUGUCGUUGCGGGGCAUGCACGACCCAGUUCUAACCACGGCCCAACGGGUUAACCGCGGCACCAUCCCCCGCGACCCUACUCAUCAGGUCCUACGGGCGACACAGUCAGCGUGGCCCCACUCGCUAGAUUUAACGGUCAAAGCACUAACCCGAUGACAUCCACCGUUUGUUACCAGUUUUGAGGGUUUCGGCCAAGGGAGUGGGGAAAAGUGAGCAAAAUUCAAGAGCGUGGGGAUGAAUGACUAUGGCUAAGGAACCAGGGUCACAGAAAUAAAAAAACCCAAUGAUAUAAGCAUUUCAAGAAGAAGGACCAAUCUGCAAUUAAAAUAAUUGACAUCGGGUCCUUGAGAGAACAGCCGCUUGCGCCAUCUCGGGAAAUACGCUUUCUCCUAAGGGAAAGCGUAUUUUUAGAAAUAUGCCUCCACUUAUCCACCCUGGCGGGUGUCUGUGUCACCGACAGGUGGGGUCGGGGCCCACCUGUCGGGUCCCUUUCUCUGUUCUCUCUCUCCUUCUCCUACCUCCCGAUGUUGCACGCAGAGCUUAGGAGGGCCGCUGGCACCGUCGGUCGUUUCGGUGACUCUAGCCACCUCCGGCGACACCCCGCCUACUGGCGUGCUCAGGGGAGCCAGCCCAACCCAUGCCGGGGGUACACGGAGCCCGACGAUGGGCAGGAUGACGAUGGCGUCCUUCAUAGUGGGAAGCUCGUCGGACAUUGCUGGCGCCAAUGCCCCGGUCAUCCCGCGGAGGAGCUAGGCGGUUCGGCGGCUUCCUGGGGACUCGAUGGCUCCAUUUGGGGUGGCUGAUUGGGAAGGGGAGAGGCUGCUGCUCGGAUUGACCCGAGGGGAUCACGGCGGCAAUCCCUGCCGGAGAGGAGGGAGAAGAGCUCCGGCGUUGGAUUCUUUGGACAGUGAGAGAGCUAGGAAGGAGGGGGGCCUACCAGGGAGUCGAGGUUCUCGAGGAGGGGCUCGGUCGUGGCUACUGACAGGCGGCGCCUUCGUUACACCAGAAUGGAAAUCUUUAGAGGAUGCCUUUGGGACCCAUGGACGCUCCCACCUUCUUUGCACUAAAGGGGAAACUGCCCCGGCCUGCCAUCUAUUACUCGCCUGUCCUUUCCUUCAUUACCCUUGAAUCGUGAGGCCCGGCCCUGCCUCGGAAUGUCCGCCGCUCCAGAGGGGUCCUAAGGAGGCUCAUGCGGGCCAUGGCGCUCCUCCUCCUCACGAGGCUUGGCCCUUCGCGAGGUCCUUGUUCCGGGAGGUGCUGUUCCAGUCGUUUGCGUGUCGAUGAGGUGGGCCCGCCCUGGGUCGUAGGCACACAGGUCUGGUUACCCCGGUUCCCAAAACGCCGACAGUAUUCUACCAUGCUAUUCGAAUUGGCGUACAUGACCUGUAGCACGUAUCAGACAUUAUCCCCGGUAGGGGAUGUGAGGAUCACCCCAGCCCCUAUUCCAAUGAGAGAUUUGGACCCGUCGAAGUACAUGGUCUAGUGAGCGUAAGUGCUAUACUCUAUGGGGAUCUCUGCCUCUAUCCAUUGGGCCAUGAAGUCGGCAAGCACUUGAUAUUGGAUAGCUCAUUGUGGCUUGUAAGUGAUCUUGAAUGGCAGGAGCUCAAUGACCCAUUUAGCUAUUAGGCUGAUGGCGUUCUUGUUGUUAAUGAUGUCGUCAAUGGGUACCUCGGAUGUUACUGUGACCACACAUUCUUGGCAAUAGUGUGUGAGCUUACGUGAUUCCACAAACACUGUGUAGGCAAUCUUCUGAUAGUGUGGGUAUCUGGUUUUGCAUGGGGUACACACCUUGGAUACAUAGUAUGACGGCCUUAGUAUCCAUAAUUGGUGACCCUCGGCCUCUUUUUUUAUGAUGAGGACCGCGCUUUACCACUUGAUUGGUGUCCGAGAUGUAUAGCAACAUCGGUUCCCACACGCUGGGUGCUACUAGAAUGGGGUUGCUGGCGAGAACCAUUUUGAUUUCCUCCAGGGCCGCCGCAGACUCGUUGGUCCACUCAAAGUUAUCGGUCUUCUUAACAAACUUGUAAAGUGGGAGAGCUUUCUCGCCGAGGCGAGAGAUAAACCGGCUCAACGUUGCAUGCAGCCUACCAAUUUUUGAAAAUGCUUGAGCUUUGUAGGGACCGCGAGUUGUGACAAGGCUCGGAUCUUGGCCGGAUUGGCCUCUAUUCCUCUUUACGACACAAUGAAUCCGAGAAGUUUGCCGACUCGGACUCUGAAGACACACUUGUCCGGGUUAAGUCGUAUGUUGUAUUCUCGUAGGCUAGCAAAGGUAUGCGUGGGGUCAUCUACUAGCUGGCCGACGUGCUUGGUCUUGAUGACCACGUCAUCCACGUAUGCCUCUGUUGUUUUGCCGAUUUGUUUGUCCCAACAUGUUUGGAUGAUGCGCACGUAAGUGGUGACCGCGUUCUUUAACCCGAAAGGCAUUGUGUUAAAUAAGAAUGGCCCAUAGGGGGUUAUGAAGGCGGUUUCAACCUGAUCAGAUUUCUUCAUUUUAAUAUGAUCGUAUCCAGAGUAAGCAUCGAGGAAACACAGAGAUUCAUGUGUUGCAGUUGCAUUGAUAAUUUGGUCUAUUUUGGGUAAGGGAAAAGGAUCCUUAGGGCAGGUGUUAUUGAGGUCUUUGAAAUCGACACAUAGUUGCCAAGAUUUGUCCUUCUUUGGUACCAUGACCAGGUUUGCCUGCCAGUCGGGAUGUUUAAUUUCUCUGAUGAACCCGACUUCUAGUAGUUUGGCAAGUUCAUGACCCAUAGUUUGACGCUUUGGUUCAGAAAAUCGGCGCAAUGCUUGUUUGACAGGCUUAAAGCCGGCUAUUAUAUUCAAGUUGUGUUUCGCCAACCCCCGAGGAAUUCCUGGAAUGACUGAGGGGUGCCACAAGAAUGUGGCCCAAUUUUCACGAAAAAAGGUGUGGAAUGCUUGAUCGAUUGCGGGGUCCAGCUCGGCUCCAAUGGACGCGGUUUUGCUGGGGUCUGUUGGGUGCACCCGAAAUUUGAUGAUCUUGUCUCUAGGUUUGAAGGUUGUGGACUUGAGCCGCUUACCGAGGACCAUGUCAUCCUUGUCCACUAUGGGACGGAGUGUAGUGUGUUAUUCUGUGGCAAGGGUUUCCGCUAGUACCUCAAGGGCUAGGAAUGUAGUUAUAUUUUCAGCUCGGAGGGCUCAGUAGGUGUCACUUAUGAUAGUUAUCACAUUGUUUCGCCCCGAAUUUUUGAGCUACAUGUAUCCACAAUAUAGUAUGGCCUGGAAUCUUGUGAAGGCUUCGUGUCCUAACAGGGAAAGGUAACCACUUUGAAAGCGUACGAUAUGAAAAAGAAGUUCUUUGGAUCGAUAGUUCUCGGGCGUGCCUCAUACCACGUCGAGAGUUACUUGUCCGGUACAACGCACUUCUUCCCAAGGGACGAUACCUAGGAAGGUGCUAUUGCUUUGUUCGAUUCGAGACCUAUAGAACUACAUUAUUCCAAGUGUGUCCUUUUAAAUGUUGUUUAGACUGCUGCCCCCAUCCAUUAGCACCUUAUUUAGUGUGAAGCCAUCCACUAUGGGGUUUAAUACUAGGGCGGCAGGUGCUCGUCCUGAGCUGGUGAUCGGCUGGUCGUCCCUGUCGAAAGUAAUUGGUGUGUCCGACCAUGGGUUUGCCACCAUUACAUGAUGGAUUUGAUGGAGUUCUCAAAGAUCUCUCUUUAUAUGAUUUUUCAAGGAAAAUGUUUCAUAGAUCAUUAGGAUGUCUGGAUUGCUAUCAGGCAGCAUUCCUCACCGUUCCUCUAUAAGUGGGGCCUUUAGGAUGCCUUCUCCACUUUUUGCAACUUGCGAGACCAUCCAACAUGCUCCAAGGUUUUGGGUGGAGCUUGUGUUAGGCUGGGCCGAGCGUAUGGAACAUGGCUUGUCCAGUAGUACACAGAGGACCGAUCUGGCUCUCGUCCGUGUUUUGUUCCUUUUCACUACGGGCCCAUAUGUAAUCAGCCCCGUGAAUGGGGGUGUGCGCCUUCUCCGGGUUCGUCUCGUUUGCUCGAUAUGGUCAGGCUCCGUGAACAUUUUCUGUAAUUGCCAAGUGCUUUCCAUGGCGCAAUAUUUGAAGACCAUGUUUGACAGCUCGACGAAGGUUUGAAUUUGGCGAUGGGCGAGGGCGUUGAGGAUGCCCUCAUCAUGGCAAUUAUGCCGGAAGGCAUUAAUCAUCUCCUGCUCAUUGUGGCACUCUGCGCUAUCCUUGUUGAGGACGGAUCUGGCCCAGAAGUGGUGUAUUGAUAACCCUGGCCGUUGUAUGACCUUAUAUGGGUCCAAUAAACAAAACUCUUUUGCUUUUCCCGAGGGAUGCUUGAGUUGGGUGGGAUGAAAUUUUGUGUCCCCAUGAGAUGUGAGUUCGAGACCUCAGCGACUACGUCCCGCGCUUUAGUUGGGUUUAGUGCGCAGGCUUGGGGUCUAUGAUUAUGACGAGACCCUGCUGCACUGAUUCUGGGUCGAUUGCCGGAUCGACCACUGGCCCCGUGUUUUUCUUGGCACGAGAUCCGGAUUCCGUAUUAAUGUAGGAGUCUGGAUGAUCGGUUACUGGUGUGUAGACCGUCCUUACUUAUGGUAGUUCAUACAGGGAUCACUUAGAGGGGCGCUCGACGAUGGUGACCAAAUGUGUGAUGGGUGGGACACGAAUUUCCCUGUCAUCUGUUCUAAGAUCGACUAACGUAGAUCGGAAAUUGGUCGCCGAUCAUGCCCACAAAUUGGAUCCAGUCUAGUAACGCGUGUAGUAACAGGGUCUCAACGGAGUCCAUACUGUUUGAGUGCUCGGGGUUGGCCCGCAACACUAAUGCCCCAGGGUCGUUCAAGGAUGAUCCCGGGUCAUGUUCGUAUGAGCCAAAUCUGGGAAUAUCGACAACGUAGACUCUAAGGCCAGACCAAGGGUCAAAGUCAUCCCAGUAGUGGGAUCCACGGCUUCCAAAGUCAAAGCAUCGGGGAUGGUGGACUCCUCGAAAGGAGCUAGGAACCUUGUUACCACAAGAUCUCCCCGGGGGUCGGUGGUGAACUCUAGGCUCCGAAUCCUUACUUCCUGACCGGGGGUGAAGCUUUCGACCUAGCCAAUUUGGCCGGCCGAAUCGGCAUGCAGAACGAUGCUUCCAAAUACGAAGAUCUGUCUGGGGACAAAGGCAUCCUUAUUGUGGAUCUCUUCAUUGAUGACUAAGCAUGCCAUUAAUCCUUCCUACGAUCCUACAACGAUACUCUCAAUGAAUGUACAAAUGUCGGUAACAAAACCGGCAGAUCUCGGGUAGGGGGUCCCGAGCUGUGGACCAUGGAUUGAUAGGUUACAGGGGACGAAGGAGACAGUGUUUACCCAAGUUCUGGUCCUCCUGUGGAGGUAAAACCCUAUGUCCUGCUAGAUUAUAUUGUUGUGUAUGAGGACUACAGAGUUGAUCUACCUCGAGAUCAUAUGAGCUAAAACCCUAGACGAGUCAACUCGCCUAUACAUAGGUAACCCUCUCGUUUAUAUAGACACCAUGGGAUCCUAGGGUUACACACAACCGACCUCCAGCCGGGGACAGAUGCGCAACCCUAGGCUACUUAACUUGGACGACAGUCUUCAGAGUUUUCCUUCUCGAAUAUGAGGUCAUCACGCAACCCGGUCUUCAACAGCGCAAUCCAUUAGUCCGACCCAUAAGAUAAAAGCCUACCACCCGAGGACCCCUUAAAUUCGGACUCCUUGAGGCACCUAAUAGUUUAAAUUUGAAUUUGAAUUUGAAUGGGACAAAAACAUAUCAUUGAAAAAUAUGGAAGUGGUAUUAUUAAAUAGUUGGAAUUUUAGAAAAAAUUAGGAGUUUGAAUCGUGGUAUUUGGAGGUGCACUUAUUUCAUUGUGAUUUUUGGAAUCUUUCUCAUGACUGAAAACAAAAAACAAAAAAGUGACACUCGCAUAAUGGACCAGUGCAGAGAGGGAAUCAGGCCGCCCUAGGGAAUUAGUCCCACGGGUGAAGCGGUGCGUGCGGUAGGUUUUAAUUUAAACCUACAAGGGUCCCUCCUAUUAGUGAGGGAGGGAGGCAAGGAGAGACUCACUUGCGGGCCCCACCCCACGGUCGUCUUCUUCCUCUAGACACGUGAAAGGGAGGGUGUAGUGGUGACGUUCCAGGCAGUAAUUUACGGCGCUGAGGGCAUGAGCGUGCUCAGGACACCGUCGAUAGCCAAGGGGUGGUGAGCUAGGUCGUCGGGGAUGAUUGGACCAUCGACAGCGUCGAUUCCGAGCGGCAGCCUUAACGCUUGAGGAUGAGGAGCUCGGCCCCGAGUGUAACCCACCAAAACAAUGAGGGGGGUUAGCUCCUUGGGUCGCAGAGGAACACAGAGAACACAACUUUAGGAUCGAAGGUAUGUCUAGAGGGGGGGUUAUUAGACUACUUGACAAGAUUAAAUCUUAGCCUUUUCCUAAUUUUCAAUGUGGACAAUUUUAGAAAUUAUGACUAGUCGAGUACACCCUACACAUGCACAUCUAAGAGUAUAUAUAAGUGGAAAGUAAAACAUGCAAGUGUAAAGUAAGGAAGGGUAGGGAGAUCAAACGCAUGAGGGUGACACGGCGGUUUUCGGCAUGUUUCUGAUAGGUGGCGCUAUCGUACGUCAAUGUUAGUGGAGACUUCAACCCACAGAGGGUAAAGGUUGCGAGAGUCCGCAGAGGGGUCCACCCACAAGGGGUCCAUGAAGAAGCAACUUGUCUAUUCCACCACGGCUUCCGUCCACACAGGACUAGCCUCACUCACGGUAGAUCUUCACAAAGUAGGCGAUAUCCUUGCCCUUACAAACAUCUUGGUUCAAGUCCACAACACGAAGUAGGAGGCUCCCAAGCGACACCUAACUAAUCUACGAGGCACCACCCUCCAAAAGGUAAUAGAUGUGGUAGAAUGAUGAACUCUUUGUUCUUGUGCUUCGAAGAUAGUCUCCUCAACACUAAAUCACUCUCUCACGGAUUUUUCAUGGGUAGGAGAGAUUCAUUUGCUAGAAAGCAACUUGGGGAGUCUAGAAAUCAUGUUUCAAAUGAUUGGAAUGGAAUCUCUUGAUGUGAACACAUGAGUAGGUGGCUCUCUGUUAGAAAAGUAAAUCUGGCAACGAAGUGUGUGUUCUGAGUGCUUCCUCUACGAAUGAGAGGCAGGUGGAGGGGCAUAUAUAGGCAGCACCAAAAAUCCAAUAGUCACACCUAAAGUGACCAAGUCAGUGACACCAAAGUUACAAACUCGAUGGUACCGACUUWCUCAAAAGGGUUAAGUUUUGAAUGUCGGUGGAACCAAUAUACAGAACUCGGUAGAACUAAAAAGGUGGCUAAUAGUCAGAUGGACCAAGUUGGUGACACCGAUACUCAAAGUCACAAAUUCCAAUUCUGUGUAUUGAGGCAACAGAAGGUUGGUCAGCUAAACUCAGUAGCACCGAUGCAGAAUCGGUUGUACCGAAAUGGAAGGUUUGGCUAGGGUUCUGUGUGGCAUGAAAAUUGGUAGGGCCGAAUAUGGAAACUUGGUGGCCCCGAUUUUGGAUAUUUGGCUUGGGUCAUAAUUGUUAUGUUGGAGAAUGGCUCAGUAUUUUUGGUGGCUAUCUCUUAGCACUUAAGCAACCAAUUCAUUUUAAUCCUAAUCUCCUUUUAAUAGUAUUGGCUUUCCUAUGGACACAAAUGUGAUUUCUCACAAAGUGUAAAAUAAAGAGUCUUAUUUCUUGAAGCUUGAGCCAAUCAUAUUCCUUCUUCAUCAAGGGCCUUCUCCACAUAAACCUAUAGCCAAUGCAUAUUUUGAACAUUUCUAAAAUAUACUUGGAUAAUAUCAUUAGUCCAAUGAUGCAUAUGUUGUGAUCAAUUAUCAAGACCACCUUAGGUCGGAAUUGUGCUUUCAAUUUCCCCCUUUUUGGCAUUUCAUGACAACAUAUAGAUCAAAGCUUCGACAAACAAUAUAAUCAAUGAUUAGCAUCGAUGCUUUGAGAGGUAUGUGAAAAGCAACAACGCCGCCUAAAUUUGUGCAUUAUUUUUGUUGGAAACAUGCCCUAGAGGCAAUAAUAAAUUGGUUAUUAUUAUAUUUCCUUGUUCAUUAUAAUUGUUUAUUAUCCAUGCUAGAAUUGUAUUGAAUGGAAACUCAAAUACAUGUCUGGAUAUAUCAACAACACAUUGUCCCUACUGAGCGUCUAGUUGACUAGCUCAUUGAUCAAAUAUGGUCAAGGUUUCCUGGCCAUAGAGAAGUGUUGUCACCUGAUUACGGGAUCACAUCAGUAGGAGAAUGAUGUGAUGGACAAGACCCAAACUAUGAACGUACCAUAAGAUUGUGUUAGUUUAUUGCUACUGUUUUCUGCAUGUCAUAAUAUCUGUUCCUAUGACCAUGAGACCAUGCAACUCUCGGGCACGGGAGGAAUACCCUAUGUGUAUCAAAUAUCGCAACGUAAUUGGGUGACUAUAAAGUUAUCUCCAAAGGUGUGUGUUGGGUUGGCGUGAAUCCAGACUAGGAUUUGUAACUCCAUAUGACGGAGAGGUAUCUCGGGGCCCACUCGGUAAUACAACAUCACUAUAAGCAUUACAAGCAAUGUGACUAAGGAGUUAGUCACGUGAUCUUGUAUUAUCAAACGAGUAAAGAGACUUGCCGGUAACGAUAUUGAACUGGGUAUGGAGAUACCGACGAUCGAAUCUCGGGCAAGUAACGUAUUGAUGGAUAAAGGGAAUAGCAUACAGGAUUAACUGAAUCCUUGAUAGAGAGGUUCAACCAACGAAGAUCUUCGUAGAACAUUUAGGAGCGCAUAUGGGCAUCCAGGUCCUUCUAUUGGUUAUUACCCGGAGAGUGUCUUAGGUCAUGUCUGCAUAGUUCUCGAACCCGCAGGGUCUGCAUUCUUAUGGUGCAGUGACGUUUUUGUAUAGUUGAAUUAUUGAUGUUGGUAACUAAAGGUUGUUCGGAGUCCCGAAUUAGAUCUUGGACAUCAUGAGAGUUUCCAGAAUGGUCCAGAGACAAAUGUUGGUAUAUAGGAUGUAUCCAAUUAGCUUCCAGAAGGUUUUCGUGUACCGGUAAAGUACCGGGAGUGAUGAAUGGGUUCCGGAGUUCUACCGGGAGGGGCCACCCACCCGGGAGAGAACCAAAGAAGCCCAAGGGUGGCACACCAUACCUUAGUGGGCUGGGGGGCAGCCCAAAGAGGCUAUUUCGACCAAGGGAGAAAAAGGAAAGGAGGAAAGGGCCAAAACCAAAUUGGGAAGGAGGACUCCUUCAAAGUUAUGUUGGAGGAGGACUCCUCCCUCUGCUCUUGGUUCGGCCAAACCCUAGGGCCUUGCCCUAGGGCACCACCCCUCCCCUCCCUCCUAUAUAGUGGAGGCGAGAGAGGCUUUUGGCACCUCAAGCCAAGGCAUAACCCUCUCUUUCUCCACCUUUUCGUGACACGAUGUAGCUAGUUCGGUAUGGUAUGACGAAGCCCUGCCGGAGUAUCUCCACCACCAUUCCCACCAUGGCGUCGUGCUACUGGAGAAUUCAACUACCUCUUCAUCUCUCUUGCUGGAUCAAGAAGGCGGAGAUCAUCAUCAAGCUGUACAUGUGCUCAAUGCGGAGGUGUCAUCCGUUCGGCACUGGAUCGGGAUUGAUCGUGAUGUGAUCGCGGGAUGGAUCGUGAUGAGAUCGCGGGACGGGCUGCGAUUUGGAUCACAAAGAUGUUCCACUACAUCAACCGCGUUAUAUACGCUUCCACUUGCAUGUGUGAUCUACAAGGGUAUGUAGAUGCACUGUCCCCUCUCGUAGAUUAUCAUCACCAUGGAUAGGUCUUGCAUGUGUGUAGGAAAUUUUAUGUUUCCCUUGCAACGUUCCCCAACAGUGGUAUCAGAGCUAGCUCUAUGCGUAAAUGACAUCUCAAGUAGAACACAAAAGAGAUUGUGGGCGUUGAUGUUAAAUUUACUGCCCUCCUUAGUAUUUUCUUGAUUCGGCGGUAUUGUUGGAUUGAAGUGGCCUGGACCAACAUUAUCAUACACUUACGACAGACCGGUUUCAUCGACUAACAUGCAACUUGUUACAUAAAGACGACUGGUGGGUGUGUGUUUCUUCGACUUUAGUUGAAUCGUAUUUGACCGAGGUUGUCCUUGGAGAAGGUAAAAUAGCAAUUUGCAUAUCACCGUUGUGGCUUUAUGUAAGUAAGAUGCGAUUAUACUAGAUACCCAUAGCAACCACGUAAAAUGUGCAACAACAAAUUAGAGGACGUUUAACUUGAUAUUGCAGGGUAUGCAUGUGAUGUGAUAUGGCCAAAGACAUGAUAUGAUAUAUUGGACGUAUGAGAUGAUCAUGUUGUAGUAGUUACAUGUCGACUUGCACGUCGAUGCUACCGCAAUGACAGGAGCCAUAGGGUUGUCUUUAAUUAUUUUGCGCUUGGAGAUGCUUUUCUCUAUCACUAGUCAGUAGCUUUAGUAGUAACAGCAUAGUUAGCACGACAACCUCGAUGGAAGCACAUUGAUGGAGAUCAUGGUGUGGCACCGGUGAUGAUGGAGGUCAUGCGAGUGCUUUGGUGAUGGAGAUCAAGAAGCACAAGUUCAUGGCCAUAUCAUGUCACUUACUAUUUGUAUGUGACGUUAAUCCUUGUAUGCACCUUAUUUUGCUUAGGACGACGGUAGCAUGAUAACGUGGUCCCUCACUAGAAUUUCAAGAUAAAAUUGUGUUCUCCCCGACUAUGCACCGUUGCAAUAGUUCGUCGUUUCGAGACACCACAUGAUGACCACAUGUGAUAGACUCUACGUUCAAAUACAACGGGUGUAAAAUAGUUGCACACGCGGAACACUCGGGUUAAACUUGAUGAGCCUAGCAUGUACAUACAUGGCCUCGGAACACAGGAGACUGAAAGGUCGAGCAUGAGUCAUAUAGUGGAUAUGAUCAACAUGGAGAUGUUCACCAAAAAACCUAAACGCAACUCACGUAAUGAUCAGACUUGAGUUAGUGAAUUUGGAUCAUGUACCACUCGAAUGACUAGAGGGAUGUCAAUUUGAGUGGGAGUUCUUAAGUAAUAUGAUUAAUUGAACUUAUUAUAAUCAGCAUAGUCAAAAAUGUCUUCGCAAAUUAAGUUGUAGCUUGCGUUGUAGCUCUACUGUUUUUGAUAUGUUCCUAGAGAAAACUUAUUUGAAAGCGGAUAGUAGCAAUAUCGGAAUGCGUCCGUAAACUGAGGAUUGUCCUCAUUGCUGCGCAGAAGGCUUAUGUCCUUAUUGCACUGCUCGUUGUGCUGAACCCUGAGCGUUGUCUGUGGAUCUUGCGAACAUCUAACAUACACAUUUUUUAUGACUACGUGAUAGUUCAGUGCGUAAUGCUUAACGGCUUAGAAUUGAGGCAUCGAAGAUCACCCAAUUAGGAUUGAGUAUAAUCUUUUUGAAUAAACUCAUCAGAUCACCUACCUUUGGUCCAGGGGUUUGACCCUGGUUGCUCGUUGGGAAAUCAUUUCGAACUCCCCAAUCUCAUCGUCGGAGUCCAGACCGGUGCCAAGCAAAGUGGCCUUGCCUUUGCAAGGCCUCUUCGGGGCCCUAGGCGGCACAUCUUCCUUCUCCGCCUCUUGCGGCGCCCUCUUCUUGGACAGGGAGGAGUCCAUGUCCUCCUCCUCUUCCGCUUCCUCCGCCUCGUAGGUAGAGGAAACAUGCGUGUCCUCUGACUUAUCGUCCGGAGGACCCCUGGAAUGGAGACCUUCACGAGUCUCCUUCUUCUUCGGCUCCGUAGCCUUGUACAGCUUCGAAGCCAACAUUGCGGUGAGUAGUUCAGACCUUGGAUCCUCAGGAAGAGGAGCUGGUUCGUCGAUGUUCUUCGCAAGGGCCAACCACUCUUGUUAAAACCAUUCAGAGAAAUAUGAGAUCUUUCUAAAAGAGAUCAGAACUUCAGGACGGGAAUAAUAUUCGGACGUACCUCAACUAGACGAUUCUUGUCAUCCACGCCCUUGUCCUCGUCCUCGGCUGGCCACACCGGCUGGGGCUUGAACAAAAUCCGCCACACGUCUUCAUGGGUCAUGUAGGAGAACUCCUUGAUGACCUUAGGGUCAUCGGGCUUGUAGGCCCACAUCGGAUUUCGCCGAUGCUGGCACGCUAGGAUACGUCGCCGUAGAGCAACUUGGAUCAUGUCGCUUAGUUGGAUGUUGGCAUCCACCAUCUGCUUGAUGCGCUUCUACAUCAACUUCACGUCCCUGGAGAAUCCCUAGUCUUCGUUUUUUUGACCCAGGAGGUUAGCUUGUCUAGAGGGUUAGACUUGAAUUGGGCAGGGGCUGCCCAGUUUGUCCCCUUGGUAAAGUGAUGUAGAACCACUCCUUCUGCGAGCCCUUGAUAGUGUCUAUCAAGGUGCCCUCUGGCCAUAUCAUCUUGGGGAGUUUUCUUAUCACCACCCCGCCGCAAUCAGGAUGCUGGUUGCUCACAUACUUUGGUUUGACAUUGAACGCCUUUAGCCAAAGCCCGAAACAUUGGUGGACUUGCGAAAAAGCUUCGCACACAAAGAUGAAAGAGGUAAUGUGUAUAAUGGUGUUGGCGGGAAGAUCGUGGAAGUUUAGCCCAUAAUAGAACAUGAGACCCCUCAUGAAGGGGUGAAGGGGAAAGCCUAGACCCCGAAGAAAACAGGGGAUAAACACUACCCGCUCACCCGACAUGGGAGUCGGGAUCACCUGACCAACCUUCGCCGCCCGGUGGGCGAUAUCGGAGGGUAGGUGUCACACCCCAAAAUUUUAAUAAUAUUUUUCUGAAAUAAAAUAUUGCCUAGAAUAAAAAUUUUGAGAAAAUAAUUUGCUUCUUCACUCUUUUCAAAUCCUCUUUCCAAAAACUUUUCAUUCCAGGUGGCUUUUCAAAGAUCUUUUAAUGCUUGAGCCCUUAUUUGAGACCAUUUUGAAUUAUUUAUUUAGAUAGGAAUACUAUUUGGCUAUGUCUAUUUAAUUUCUGAAUUUUGGAUUUUUAAUUAAUCUUUGAAACUCUCCUUCUCCUUUAUAAGGAUGUUUUCCCUAGGAAAAUGUUUUUGAUAAUUUAUGUUGGAACCUCACUACUUGCAUAAAAACAUUUCUUUUCUUCUCGUAAAUUCUUGGGAUAUUUUAUUUUAAUAUUUUGACCAAGAUUUCUUUUAUUCAAAAUAGACUCAUAUUUUCUUUAUAAUAUCUGUUUUGCACCGCAACCUUGUGAUCACUUCUUCUAAUUUUUUUAUAAAAAUUUGGAGAUGACCUUUGAUGUCCCUAGAUCACAUUUAUGCGAAGACCUACCCAAGUGUUUUGAAUAUUUUGAGAAUAUUAACUACAUUUCUAAUGUGGUCUAGAUUUGAGUUUGUACUACAACCCGUAGAAAUAAUCUUUCAAAAAUUCUAAAAAUAAUUGGGGAUGUCCAUUAUAGCAUAAGAUUCAUUGUUAUGCAAAAACUCCACUAUGUGCUUUGUAAAAACUUAGCAUAAUAUUCAUUUUUCUGUUCUGGUCUAGAUUGAUGAUUUUCACUACAACCCUACUUUUCCUUGCUCUAAUUGUUGUGAUAUUUUGCAUGCUUGUUUGGCACCCUACCAAAACCUUAACACCAGGAGUUGAGCCCCAUUGGAUGAAAGUAAGUGCAUGUGAUAAUAGCUCGAAUUUUUUGUCCACAGAUGUGUUCUUCAAGAUUUUGCAAUAUCGAGUUUUGAUUUUUGGCAAACUAGCCCUACCACCAUUGCCAGCACCUAGAGAGACCCUGACCUGGAGUUUGUGGGCACUAGAAUAUCCCAUUGGAUGCACGUAGCUUUCUGUCGAACAGGUUAUGUGCAUGACCAGAUUUGGCACUUGAUAGAGUUUGGAUUGGCAAAAAUUUUCCGUGGACCAAUAUUCUUGUCCACCCACUCUACCUUAGCCCUUAGCCCACCCCUGUUUAGUAUUAGCUGCAGCAUCCUCUGGUAGACCACCCAAGCAUUGCGUCGAGCACCUGGUGAGCGUGCUGUGGGAGCACCAGAGCAUGCAAUUGGCCUGCCCAAGAAGGCACGUUUUGCAUGCGGGAGCCGAGCCGCCGCGUCCCCGCUUCCCUUGCCCUCUCGCUACUCGCAGCAUCGCGUCAACCCCCUCCGCCAUGUGCACGAGCAGUGCAGCAGCAACGACGACCGCGGUUUCCUCUGCUUCGCUGCAGUGGCCGGCGCCGCCGAGGCAGCCACAACCAGCCAUCUGUACAUGGACCAUCCCCCUGCAUCAGCUGCUCGCUGCCCCUAUCGCCCUUCUGCCGCUGCUGCGCGCCUAAAGCUCUCUCCUCGGCGAGCUUAUCCAAAGUCCAAGCAAACCGACCCGGCCAUGGCUAUUAAAUGGACCCCCCGAUCCCUUAGAGCCUCGCAACAGCCUCCCCUGAGCCAUAGCUCCCUCCCCCUGACCUCAAUUUAGCCGGAGCCGCUUCCGUGCUCGUGUGCGACAGUAGCACUGUCGCCGGCCUCCGGCCAAAUUGCAGCAGCUUCGAACCCCUUCCGCCUUGUCUUGGCCACUGCUAGCUUCCCCUCGAGCCCUUGAACCCAUUUCCCUCUUCUUCCCUACCUGAGAGCCGCACCACGCGCAGCCCAAACCUUGCACGAACCUCUCUCCGCCAUGGCCAGAGGUGAGCUCACUCCCCGACCUCCCCAGCUGCCCUAAAGCCUUCCAGAGGCCGAGGCCAUCCCGCCUGAGCCUACCGGUGUGCUCAGCAUCUUGAAUGGUGCCCCUAGCACUGCAAGCCCUGCCGGAGUGCCUCUGUUGCGUGUCCAAGUGCGCGCGUAGAGGCGGGAGAAGAACCCGACAGGCGGGCCCCGCGUGUCGGUGAGCCAGCCGUAGCCCAAGUAGCACAAAGCCCCCUGGUAUGUCUUCCUUCUGGUAAUGCGUAUUCCCGUGUGACCAUUUCGGUAAAUACGCUUCCUCUCCGGUGAAAGCAUAUUCUCACCGAAACGUUUUCUUUCAGUUUUGAUUUUAAAAACAAAGUUGACCAGAAAGUUUGAUUGGCUCUAAAUUUUUAUAGGAAACUCCAAAUCGUUUAAUUCUUUUUCCUACCUCUUUAGAAUUUAUCUAGUUUAUUUUAAAAUUUAUUUCAAAAUUAUUCAAACAACUUUUGUGUGAGGUUUUGAAUAUGUGUGUUAAUUCAAAUAUUUGUCAAAAGAGGAUUUGAAGAGUGAUACCUACACCAAGAUGUGGGGUAAACAUCACCCUCCUGAAAACCCUAAGGCAAGCAUCUUGAAUCCAUAUUUGCAUAAAGUUGAGUGAUGAUUUUGGUGGUGCAUAAAUCGCGUGAUUUGAGGUUAUGUUGACAAUGAUCUCACAUGAAAUAAUACUUUGCAUAUUUCAUGCAUGCUACUCACAUUAUAACAAUGGUGAAACAUAAUGAUGGCAUGUGCUAGUUAUGAGAGGUCGUGGAAUAACCUAGUAACGCAGAACGUGAUAGGUUAUGGCUUGGUCAUGACAUGUGCACGAUGAUGCCGGUAAAACUUGGUUAACUCGUAUCAACCUAGAUCGAGUCUUGUCUGUGUCAUACUUCUAUAUCGUGCUACCACAGUUUCCUGGAUAAUGGAUUUGGUAUACUCAGUUGUAGACCUAUUAUCAGUCACACACCAAGUAGAGCGGCCGGUAUGAAGGUAUCCAUGGCCCUGGAAUAAAUCGAGUCAUCCAGUCAGGGGGCAUGGGUGUUCCCGGUCUGGGAUUGGGAGGGAAUGGCCCUUCCCAGUGAGCGCGUGUUAUAAAUUUUUGAUCCCAUGCUAAUUGAGGUCGGAGCCUCCCUGUCUUAUGGUUUUGCCUUGGCAGCGUGGUCCGGGUGAAGCCGGGCAUCGCGGAGGAAAAUCUGUGUGUGCUGAUUCUGAGUGUCCGCUUCUAAAAUGUUGUACGCGGGAUUAGUCUUGUCGACUAUCGGAAACCGUGGGCUGCGGGUAAAGAGUACACCCUCUGCAAAGUCAAAACUAUUCGAGUAGCCGUGUCCGCGAUCAAGGACAUUGUUUGACGAGUCAAGUGUCGGUCCUAGUGUCGGUCUUUGGAGUAUAAGCGGUGACAAUAACAAUGGUUGUGGAAAAUCGUAUGAUGAUGUGGUGGAUGAUCAUAUUAUGAUUAUUACUCUCGACUAACCCUUAUGAUUAUGUUGUUGGAUAUCCCUGUGACGGUUCUACCUCUUGGAUAUUCAAUAUUUAUUAUUAUUUCUUAUAAGCCCUUUUUGUGGUGUCGCUUAGACGCCCGACUGUGGCGUGCUUAUUAUUGCUUAUAAGCCCUUUAUGCGGUGUCGCUAAGACGCCCGAAUGUGGCAUGCUUAUUAUUUAUUCUAAGCCCUUUAUGUGGUGUCGCUUAGAUGCCCGACUUUGGCAUGCUUAUUAUUUCUUCUAAGCCCUUUAUGAGGUAUCGCUCAGACGCCCGACUCUGGCACACCUAUUAUUACUUAUUCAGUAUUAUCAUCCUUUCUUGUUUAUAAAACAUUUGUGGAAACAUUGUAUAUCUUCAUGAAUGCAUUCAGGAAAUAAACUCUAAUGGCGAGAUAUAAUUGUUAUGUAUAAAUUUGCAUGCAUCUCACCCGCUUAACUUAUUUGUUUUCUAGAUGUUUGCGAGUACAUUCAAAGUACUCACUAGCUUGUACCUAGCUAUUGUCUUGGCCAGACUGCGUUCAGAGAGGAGCACGAUGCCGUCAACCUCGGAACCUAGGGGUCAACAAUAGCAGCCUCGUGAGAUAGGAAUUUUUCCAGGUCAGCUGUUCCUGUGGGAAUGGAGUCCCGUGGGCACUAGAGAUUUUUGAGUCGCUUCCUCCGUCAACCCUAGACUUUUGUUCAACUCAGUAGACUUUCAUGGUCUUGUAACCCAUAUUUGGUAUUUUGCUUGGAUAUUCUGUAUCAAGUAGGUGUCUACCAGCUAGCAGCAAUCCUGGGGCUGGUAAACACAGAGACAUGUUUUCUUGAAAUUAUUUUCCGAAAAACACAUCGCUACAACCUUGGUAUCAGUGCUAGGCUAACCAUUGGCUAAACCUAUCUUAGCCAGGUCGCUAUCCCUAAACCGGAUAUUUUUAUCUACACCCCCAGCCUAGCCUACCCAAUAGCCAACCACAGUGGCCACCCGACACCUUUUGGCAGUCGGUGCCUAACCUGUCAACCUAGCCUUAAGCUAUGUGUUUUUGACCGACACCAGAGUUGUCGCAUCCCUUAGCGUGCGAUGAAAGACUCCCUAGGCUAUAUAGUAAGGCCUUGCCUCAGCCGAGCAACCCGCAACUUUGAGACCACUACCCUAGUAACCUCCUUGACUUGCAAGAUGCCUGGCUGCAUUCUUUGCAACGAGAACCCCAUAUCCGAGCCUGGAGACUUCAUAGUCAUCCUCGCCGACCUCAGCCACCAAGUUUUUGGUAUAGAAGAACAUCCAGUGUAUGUUUUACAUGAGGAGCCUACGAGUGAUGAUAUUCGUUACUUUUGGGCCUCGGUGAACAUCUAUGGAGGGACUCCCUCGUUGGAGUGCCCUCACCAUUUCACUGGUAGAGCAGCCACCAACGAAGCCCAAGCCCGCCAGCUUGCAGCCCGAGAGGCAAUAGUCUAGCUGCAACAUCUGUCACCAUGGAUGAAUAGCUGACCGUUAUGCUACUAUCCUAGUCGUGAAGGCUAUGGUAGUCUGAGCCGAGUUGCCCGCGAAGACCUUGAGGCAGACCCUGCCCCGGUGCAGGUUGUGCGCUAUCUGAGAGCGCAUGAGGCACUCAUCGAUCAGAUCACCUCUCACUUGGUCAUGAGCCGCACACCAACUGCUCGCCAGACCCCGGCAAGCUAUGAAGCCGCAACCGCCUCCAGCAACCAGCACAUUUUGGUUGGAAGACUAAUUGGAGCCUUAAGGUUUGCCCCGCCAGCCAUGACCCCGAUAGAGCUUCACGCAGUUUGGAUGCCGAUUGCAAUGAAGCUGUGCCAAGAGUGCGUCGUCCGAGACGUUGCCGCCACCGCAACCCUGCAGCCCCACUCCAUGGCCAUGGCCCUGUUGGCUGAGGAGCCUCGACAAAUGGAGGAGCCUUAAUGGCUACUGAGCCCAUCAGCUCAGAGGCCAAUGAAGGCGAAGCGAGUCCGUCAGAGUAGCUGUCAAGCCCUGGUAACCGUGUUACCCUAUAACAUUGUAUUCACGUGUUUGUUAUAGAAAGAUUUUUAAUAAAAUUGCAGGAUGCCUGCACACCUUGGCUUUUAUAAGUAAAAUUUGCAUAAACUAGUCCGCAUGGCCUUAGAGUAAGUUUUCGGGCAUGACCACCCAGCCACCAAGUCAACUACCCGAGUGAUGUAUCACUUAAGAGAUUAUACCCGAGUUUUCACCUCGGUGCACUAGGUCACCCCAGUGUCAUAUUGUGUGUGUAUCUAAAACCGGAACCCUUUUAGACCACCCAUGACCGCUCCUAGCACUUCUCAUAAAGUGCGUUGCCCCGAGCCAGACCUCCCCAUGAGUAACCACUGGAUUCAUCCGGAAGUUCUGGAUGCAAACCCACAAAGGUAACUGUGUUGCCUCGCAGCCCAGUAUAGAGAAGCUCUGGUUUGCCCAUCCCAUGCCCUUCAGGUCAUCACCAAGGGUGUUGACCCAUCAGCGGGUGGAAUAAUUCCACACGCAGGCUAGUGGAAAUUGUUUAGAUCUUCUAUUGGUAGGUGAUUGUUGUCAGACCAAGGGAACAUGUUUUCCUAAACUCCUUCUAGGAGAAGUGAAACGUGGUUUCCCCCACCGAGAGUAUCUUCUCGGAAACCCCCUUGCCCGUAUCCCGUUGUCCGUCCUCGGAGUGUAUAUUAGUCCACGGGUAUGUUUUCCUGAUGCCAUGUGAAUAGUGGUGUAUCAUUUGAUUGCAUUGUCUCACUCGCAUAUGAGUAAUUGUGUGCCAUGUGAUUUUUUUAUUUGCACGUGCAUUUGACUAACCAUCUCCCGUAUUUCCUUGAGUAAAUUAGUUUUCUUUCCCUAAGAAAAUCUCUGGGACGAGAACUAUUUUAAGGGGGGUAGUGUCUGUCACACCACAAAAUUUUAAUAAUAUUUAUAUGAAAUAAAAUAUUGCCUAGAAUUUUUUUUUUGAGAAAAUAAUUUGCUUCUUGACUCUUUUCAAAGCCUCUUUCCAAAAACUUUUCAUUUCAGGUGGCUUUUCAAAGAUCUUUUAAUGCUUGAGCCCUUACUUGAGACCAUUUUGAAUUAUUUAUUUAGAUAGAAAUAUUAUUUGGCUAUGUCUAUUUAAUAUAUGAAUUUCUAGAUUUUAAAUUAAUCUUUGAAACACUCUUCUCCUUUAAAAGGAUGUUUUCCCUAGGUAAAUGUCUUUGAUAAUUUAUGUUGGAACCUGACUACUUGCAUAAAAACAUUUCUUUUCUUAUGGUAAAUUCUUGGGAUAUUUUAUUUUAAUAUUUUAACCAAGAUUUCUUUUAUUCAAAAUAGACUUAUAUUUUCUUUAUAAGGGCUAUUUUGCAAUGCAACGUUGUGAUCACUUCUUCUAAAUUUUUUAUAAAAAUUUGGACAUGACCUUUGAUGUCCGUGGAUCACAUUUAUGCAAAAACCUACCCAAGUGUUUUGAAUAUUUUGAUCACAUUAACUACAUUUCUAAUAUGGUCCAGAUUUGAGUUUGUACUACAACGCCUAGAAAUAAUGUUUAAAAAAUUCUAAAAAAAUUGGGGAUGUCCAGUAUAGCAUAAGAUUCAUUUAUGCAAAAACUCCACUAUGUGCUUUGUAAAAACUUAGCAUAACAUUCAUUUUUCUGUUCUGGUCCACAUUGAUGAUUUGCACUACAAUCCUAAUUUUCCUUGCUCUAAUUGCUGUGAUAUUUUGCAUGCUUGUUUGGCACCCUACCAAAACCUUAACCCCAGGAGUUGAGCCCCAUUUGAUGAAAGUAAAUGCAUGUGAUAAUAGCUCCAAGUUACUGUUCAGAGAUGUGUUCUUCAAGAUUUUGCAAUAGCUAGUUUUGAUUUUUGCCGAACUAGCCCUACCACCAUUGCUAGCACCUAGAGAGACCCUGACCUGGAGUUUGUCGGCACUAGAAUAUGCCAUUGGAUGCAAGUAGCUUUCUGUCGAACAGGUUAUGUGCAUGACCAGAUUUGGCACUUGAUAGAGUUUUCAUUGGCAACUUUCUUCCCUCGCCGAAUAUUCAUGUCCACACACUCUACCUUAGCCCUUAGACCACCCCUCUUUAGUAUUAGCUGCAGCAUCCCCUAGUAGACCACCCAAGCAUUGUGUCGAGCACCUGGUGAGCGUGCUGCGGGAGCGCCAGAGCGUGCAAUUGGCGUGCCCUAGAACGAACGUUUUGCACGCGGGAGCUGACCGCCGCGUCCCCGCUUCCCUUACCCUCUCGAUAGUCGCAGUGCCGCAUCAACCCCCUCCCUCGACCGUUGGUCUCUGCCAUGUGCAUGACCAGUGCAGCGGAAACGCGACGGCCGCAGUUUCCGCGGCUUCGCUGAAGUGGUCGGCGCCGCCCAGUCAACCCCAGCCAGCCAUCUGUACCUGGACCAUCCCCGUGCAUCAACCGCUCGCUACCCCUCUACCCGUGUCACCCUGCUGCCACCGCUGCGCGCCUGAAGCUCUGUUCCCAGCGAGCUUAUCUGAAGUCCUAGUGAACCGACUCCGCCAUGGCUAUUUAAAGGACCCCCCGAGCCCUCUGAGCCUCGCAGCAGCCUCCCCUGAGCCGUAGCUUCCCCCCCUCACCUCAAUUUAGCAAGAGCCGCUUCCCUGCUCGUGUGCGACAGCAGCGCCGUUGCUUGCCUCCGGCCAAAUUGCAGCAGCCUCCAACCCCUUCCGCCUUGUCUUGGCCACUGCUAGAUUCCCCUCGAGCCCCUGAACCCAUUUCUCUCUUCCGCCCUACCCGAGAUCCGCAGCGUGCGCAACCCAAACCUUGCACGAACCUCUCUCCGCCAUGGGCGGAGGUGAGCUCACCCCCGAGCUCCCCAGCUGCUCUAGAGCCUUCCAGAGGACGACGCCCUCCUGCCCGAGCCCACCGGUGUCCUCAGCACCACGAAUGGUGCCCCUAGCACCGGCAAGCCCCGCCGGAGUGCCUCUGUUUCCUGUCCAAGUGCGCACGCAGAGGUGGGAGAAGAACCCGACAGGCGGGCCCCGCCUGUCGGUGAGUCAGCCGCAGCCCAAGUAGUGCAAAUCCCCCUGGUACGUCUUCCUUCUCGUAAAGCCUAUUCCCGUGUGACCGUCUCAAAUGCGCUUCCUCUCUGUCGAAAGUGUAUUCUCACCGAAACGUUUUCUUUUAGUUUUGAUUUUAAGAACAGACUUGACCAGAAUGUUUGACUCGCUCUAACUUUUUAUAGGAAACUCCAAAUCCUUUGAUUCUUUUUCCUACCUGUUUAGAAUUUCAUCUAGUUUAUUUUAAGAUUUAUUUCAAAAUUAUUCAAACAACUUUUGUGUACUGUUUUGAAUAUGUGUGUUAAUACUAAUAUUUGUCAAAAUAGGAUUUGAAGAGAGGAUACCUACUCCAAGAUAUGGGGUACACAUCACCCUCCUCAAAACCCCAAGGCAAGCAUUUGAAUCCAUAUUUGCAUAAAGUUGUGUGAUGAUUGUGUGGUGCAUAAAUCGCAUGAUUUGAGGUUAUGUUGACAAUGAUCUCACAUGAAAUAAUACUUUGCAUAUUCCCUGCAUGCUACUCACAUUAUUACAAUGGUGAAACAUGAUGAUGGCAUGUUCUAGUUAUGAGAGGUCGUGGAAUAACCUAGUCAUGCGGAACGUGAUAGGUUAUGGCCUGGUCAUGAAUUGUGCACGAUGAUGCCGGUAAAACUUGGUUAACUCCAAUAUCGACCUAGAUCGAGUCUUGUCCGUGUCAUACCUCUAUGUCGUGCUACCAUAGUUUCCUGGAUAAUAGAUUUGGUAUAGUCAGUUCUAGACCUAUUAUCUAGAGGGGCCGGUAUGAAAGUAUCCGUGGCCUUGGAAUAAAUCCAUUCAUCUGGUUAGGGGACAUAGGUGUUCCCGGUCUCGGACCGGGAGAGAAUGGCCCUUCCCAGUGAGAGCAUGGUAUAAAUUUUUGAUCCCAUGCUAGUCGAGGUAGGAGCCUCCCCGUCUUAUGGUUUUGCCUUGGCAGCAUAGUCCGGGUGAAGCCGGGCUUCGCGGAGGAAAAUCGGUGUGUGCUCAUUCUGAGUGUCCGCUUCUAAAAUGCCGUACACGGGAUUAGUGUUGUCGACUAUCAAAAACCGUUGGCUAUGGGUAAAGACUACACCCUCUGAAGAGUCAAAACUAUUCGAGUAGCCGUGUCCCCGGUCAAGGACGUUGUUUGACGAGUCAAGUGUCGGUCCUAGAGUCAGUCUUUGUAGUAUAAGCGGUGACAAUAACAAUUGUUGUGGAAAAUCAUAUGAUGAUGUGGUGGAUGAUCAUAUUAUGAUUAUUACCCUGGACUAACCCCUAUGAUUAUGUUGUUGGAUAUCCCUGGGACGGUUCUACAUCCUGGAUAUUCAAUAUUUAUUAUUAUCUAUUAUAAGCCCUUUUUGUGGUGUCGCUUAGAGGCCCGACUGUGGCAUGCUUAUUAUUGCUUAUAAGCCCUUUAUGUUGUGUCGCUUAGACGCCUACUGUGGCAUGCUUAUUAAUUCUUAUAAUCCCUUUAUCUGGUGUCGCUUAGAUGCCCGACUGUGGCAUGCUUAUUAUUUAUUCUAAGCCCUUUAUGAGGUGUCGCUCAGACGCCCGAUUGUGGCACACAUAUUGUUACUUAUUCAGUAUUAUCAUCUUUGCUUGUUUAUAAAACAUUAGUGGAAACAUUGUAUAUCUUCAUGAAUGCAUUCAGGAAUUAAAAUCUAAUGGCGAGAUGUAAUUGUUAAGUAGAAAUUUGCAUGCAUCUCACCCGCUUAACUUAUUUGUUUUCUUGAUGUUUGCGAGUACAUUCAAAGUACUCACUGGCUUGUCCCUGGCUAUUGUCUUAGCCAGAUUGCGUUCAAGGAGGAGGACGAUGCCGUCAACCCUGGAACCUAGGAGUCAAGGAUAGUAGCCUCGUGAGAUAGGAAUUUAUCAUGGUCAGCUAUUCCUGUGGGAAUGGAGUCCCAUGGGCACUGGAGAUUUCUCGAGUCGCUUCCGCUGUCAACCCCAGACUUUUAUUCAACCAAGUAGACCUUCAUGGUCUUGUAACCCAGAUUUUGUAUUUUGCUUGGAUAUUUUGUAUCAAGUAGGUGUCUACCAGCUAGCAGCAAUCCUAGGGCUGGUGAACACAGAGACAUGUUUUCUGGAAAUCAUUUUCUGAAAAACACGUCACUAUAGUAGUUAUCCGAAGCGCUUCAGCUCCCAUAUGUCCGCGUCGAACACGGUCGACACCUCCCACUUGCGGUGAGAGCCGACAGCGCUUGAGAUUGGGGGAGCCAAGAGAGACGCUGAGGAUAUAGGUGGAGAAAUCUUUGGAUUUUUUCUCCUUUUUGUAAGGGAUUGUAAUACCAAGGGUCCCUUUUACUGCGCCGGUUGCCCCGCCACCUACUUCCGAAAAAUCAUUAAGCCGUUGCACGUGCGGGUGAACCUGUGCAGUUACUUGUAUCCGAGUAAAUGUGGAGGCACAAUCUCCUCGAAAGGACGUGACCCUCGAGACACAUACCAUGCCGUGGUUUAAAGACCUUCACGGAGAAGGAUGCGAGUUUUAAAAUGUGUAGGGGAGCAGAUCGGAAUCAGCCGAACACGGGUGGAACUCACCUUGCAAGUCGCUCACUAUAUAUGUAAGGAGCAGCCGAAGACCGAACACACCAUCCUUGAAGGCUAGUUCGGGGGCUACUCACGGAGUUUGGGAUCCAGUGGUCCUCGGGUGGCCAGUUAAUAAAUAUUGGAUGAGCCCGUUGGGCCGCGCCGGACAAGUCUGGGCUUGAUGACGACCUGUACUCUCGAAGGAAUAUCCCGAAGAUUGGUGUGUACCCCAAACUUAGGAGGACUAGGUCGGCUCAUCUAUUCCCGAUUAUAGUUGAUAUGUUGUAAACCCUAGGGACCAUGGUAUCUAUAUAAACCAGGGACUAAUGACCCACAAGUAUAGGGGAUCUAUUGUAGUCCUUUCGAUAAGUAAGAGUGUCGAACCCAACGAGGAGCAGAAGGAUCUGACAAGUGGUUUUCAGCAAGGUAAUAUCUGCAAGCACUGAAAUUAUCGGUAACAAGUAGUUGUGUGGUGAGAUGAUUCGUAGCAAGUAGCAAAUAACAACUGUAGCAACGGUGCAGCAAAGUGGCCCAAUCCCUUUUGUAGCAAGGGACAAGCCUAGACAAAGUCUUAUAGGAGGUAAAACGCUCCCGAGGACACAUGGGAAAUUCUGUCAAGCUAGUUUUCAUCAUGUUCAUAUGAUUCACGUUCGUUACUUUGAUAGUUUGAUAUGUGGGUGGACCGGCGCUUGGGUACUGCCCUUACUUGGACAAGCAUCCCACUUAUGAUUAACCCCUCUCCCAAGCAUCCGCAACUACGAAAGAAGAAUUAAGACAAAGUCUAACCAUAGCAUUAAACUAGUGGAUCCAAAUCAGCCCCUUACGAAGCAACGCAUAAACUAGGGUUUAAGAUUCUGUCACUCUAGAAACCCAUCAUCUACUGACUACUUCCCAAUGCCUUCCUCUAUGACCAAAUAAUGGUGAAGUGUUAUGUAGUCGACGUUCACAUAACACCACUAGAGCAAAAACAACAUUCAACACAUCAAAAUAUCGAACGAAUACCAAAUUCACAUGACUACUUAUAGCAUGACUUAUCCCGUCUCCCCAGGAACAAAAGUAACUACUCACAAAGCAUAAUCAUAUUCAUGACCAGAGAGGUAAUGAGUAGCAACAAGGAUCUGAACAUAAACUCUUCCACCAAGUAAUCCAACUAGCAUCAACUACAAAGAGUAAUUAACACUACUAGCAACCUUACAAGUACCAAUCGGAGUCGCGAGACGAAGAUUGGUUACAAGAGAUGAACUAGGGUUUGGAGAUGAGAUGGUGCUGAUGAAGAUGUUGAUGGUGAUGAGUCCCCUCCGACGAGAGGAGUGUUGGUGAUGACAAUUGCGACGAUUUCCCCCUUCGGGAGGGAAGUUUGCCCAGCAGGAUCGUCGUGCCAGAGCUCUAGAUUGGUUCUGCUCAAGUUACGCCUCGUGGUGGCGGCGAAUCCUCCGAAAAGCCUCCUCUUGAUUUUUUCCAGGCCGAAACCCUUCUUGUAGCAAAAGGGGGGACCAGUGGGCCAGGAGGGAGCUCACAAGCCACCUAGGCACGGCCAAGGGUGGAGGCCGCGCCUAGCAGGCUUGUCGCCUCCUGCUGGCGCCCCUCUGGCACUUGUUCGGCCCAGUAUUUUUUGUAAAUCCCAAUAAAAAUC
rnacentral:lncRNA from 1 species